rnacentral:tRNA from 1 species
GACAUAUUAUUAACUUAUGUUACGACCAUAAGAUUGAUACAGUUGUAUCGUAUGUUU